AGCGAACGCUGGCGGCAGGCUUAACACAUGCAAGUCGAGCGGGCAUCCUUGUGGUGUCAGCGGCAGACGGGUGAGUAACGCGUGGGAACGUGCCCUUCGGUUCGGAAUAACUCAGGGAAACUUGAGAUAAUACCGGAUACGUGCGAGAGCAGAAAGGUUUAUCUGCCGAAGGAUCGGCCCGCGUCUGAUUAGCUAGUUGGUGAGGUUACGGCUCACCAAGGCGACGAUCAGUAGCUGGUCUGAGAGGAUGAUCAGCCACACUGGGACUGAGACACGGCCCAGACUCCUACGGGAGGCAGCAGUGGGGAAUAUUGGACAAUGGGGGCAACCCUGAUCCAGCCAUGCCGCGUGAGUGAUGACGGCCUUAGGAUUGUAAAGCUCUUUUCUCCGGGACGAUAAUGACGGUACCGGAGGAAUAAGCCCCGGCUAACUUCGUG
rnacentral:rRNA from 1 species